rnacentral:lncRNA from 1 species
GGCUCUCGGCCCUCGCCAGAAGCCUCGCCUGUUCCUCGUAGCACUCCUCCAGGCGGAUCAUGUACUGGGCGAGCUAAGGGAUAGGAAAAACGAGGGCGUCAGGCGGGGAUCAACAGAGCCUAUAAAUGAUAAAAGCGACCGAAAGAACACUCACCGACAUGAGACAGACGCAGCUGGCAGCCCCAACGUCAGGGACCCUCAUCUCCCGGACCUGCCUGCGGUCCUUCUCCAGCAGUACUGUCUCGAUGAGGUUUCGGGCGCCGGCGAAAGUGAAGGCCGACCCCGACUUCUCCCCGGAGUCGGACGGUGGUUCCGCAGCCUUACCCUUACCCAUCGCUUGGGGAAGAGUCAUG